GAUGAACGCUGGCGGCGUGCCUAAUACAUGCCAGUCGAGCGAACGGACGAGAAGCUUGCUUCUCUGCUGUUAGCGGCGGACGGGUGAGUAACACGUGGAUAACCUACCUAUAAGACUGGGAUAACUUCGGGAAACCGGAGCUAAUACCGGCUAAUAUUUUGAACCGCAUGGUUCAAAAGUGCAUGACGGUCUUGCUGUCACUUAUAGAUGGAUUCGCGCUGCAUUAGCUAGUUGGUAAGGUAACGGCUUACCAAGGCAACGAUGCAUAGCCGACCUGAGAGGGUGAUCGGCCACACUGGAACUGAGACACGGUCCAGACUCCUACGGGAGGCAGCAGUAGGGAAUCUUCCGCAAUGGGCGAAAGCCUGACGGAGCAACACCGCGUGAGUGAUGAAGGUCUUCGGGUCGUAAAGCUCUGUUAUUAGGGAAGAACAGAUGUGUAAGUAACUGUGCACAUCUUGACGGUACCUAAUCAGAAAGCCACGGCUAACUACGUG
rnacentral:rRNA from 1 species